GUCGAGCGGCGGACGGGUGAGUAAUGCAUAGGAAUCUGCCCGGUAGUGGGGGAUAACUUGAGGAAACUCAAGCUAAUACCGCAUACGCCCUACGGGGGAAAGCAGGGGCUCUUCGGACCUUGCGCUAUCGGAUGAGCUUAUGUCGGAUUAGCUGGUUGGUGAGGUAACGGCUCACCAAGGCGACGAUCCGUAGCUGGUCUGAGAGGAUGAUCAGCCACAUCGGGACUGAGACACGGCCCGAACUCCUACGGGAGGCAGCAGUGGGGAAUAUUGGACAAUGGGGGCAACCCUGAUCCAGCCAUGCCGCGUGUGUGAAGAAGGCCCUCGGGUUGUAAAGCACUUUCAGCGAGGAAGAAUGCUUGUCGGUUAAUACCCGGCAAGGGAGACAUCACUCGCAGAAGAAGCACCGGCUAACUCCGUGCCAGCAGCCGCGGUAAUACGGAGGGUGCGAGCGUUAAUCGGAAUUACUGGGCGUAAAGCGUGCGUAGGCGGCUUGAUAAGCCGGUUGUGAAAGCCCCGGGCUCAACCUGGGAACGGCAUCCGGAACUGUUAGGCUAGAGUGCAGGAGAGGAAGGUAGAAUUCCCGGUGUAGCGGUGAAAUGCGUAGAGA
rnacentral:rRNA from 1 species